rnacentral:rRNA from 1 species
CAGUAGCCACGGUAAUACAGAGGUCUCAAGCGUUGUUCGGAUUCAUUGGGCGUAAAGGGUGCGUAGGUGGCGGUGUAAGUCUAACGUGAAAUCUCGGGGCUCAACCUCGAAAUUGCGUCGGAUACUGCAUUGCUAGAGGAUUGUAGAGGAGAGUGGAAUUCAUGGUGUAGCAGUGAAAUGCGUAGAUAUCAUGAGGAAGACCAGUUGCGAAGGCGACUCUCUGGGCAAUUCCUGACACUGAGGCACGAAGGCUAGGGGAGCAAACAGGAUUAGAUACCCCGGUAGUCCCUGUCUCUUAUAC